GUCUAUGCCCAUGCUAUUCUGAACUUGUCCAAUCGCAUCUGAUCUUGGAAACUAAGCAGGGUCGGUCCUGGUUAGUACUUGGAUGGGAGACCACCUAGGAAGACCAGGUGCUGUAGGCA
rnacentral:rRNA from 1 species